CAUGAAUAGAAAUAGGUUCAAACCCACAGACGAAUCUGCCGGAACAAAUCAAAAGCAUUCGAUUUGGCGCAAGAGGAAGCUCACGUGACCAACCAGGGACGACACGCAUGCGUAAGAUUUGCUCUUACGGAAGAACUAGACGAAUGCAUCGUACACAGAGUCGUUGCUUCGUGACCAAAAUUACCCAUAACGCCCAGUACGUUCAAUGUGCAACGUGACCUUAAAGGGAACAACAAACAAGCCGCCGCCGCCGAUGGCGUGACGUCAUUCAUAGCCCAGGGAAAAGGGCGUGGUGUAAGGCGGAAGUGUUCGUUCUUGUGGAGCAGAGGGUAUAUGCUUUGGAGUAUGAUCCUCGUACCCCCAUAGAUCCACCGGGGAUCCAUUUCCUGGAUCUCUGGGGGCGAGUGAGCAGAGAGCCUGGACUUGGGAAAGUGAACAAGAUGGUGUGUGAGUUCUUUCUGUUGUCCUCCAUCUGGUUCGUUGUGGUCAUAUUUUGGAUGGAGACAAUCAGUAUGUGGCUGUUCCUGUGCCAUUUAUUUCAAGACCGAGCAAUGUAUCAGUGGGGAGAAAGGAUUUACAUCAGCAAUCCUGACCAGAACAUGUACAUAAUUAUUACAGUCGACUCUUUGAGGUAGCCUUAAACUUCACAGGUGCUGACUGGAUUAUUUUCAAAAUGUUUGAAAAAACUGGGGCGGUGGACUGAUGUGCCAUAUUAAUUUAAAGAAAUCGUAUUUUGUAAAUCUUUUUAAUGACGUUCUAAAAUCUAAAAGUAAAGUUGAAUGAGUUGUGCAAGAUAUCCUGACCAGUGGAGAAGAUAAUGCUGUGCCUGAGAAAUUCUGUUUUACAUCUUGGCAAGACUUCUGAAUGGUCAGCAAGCCCACAAACAGAAGAACUGCCUGGUGAAUUGAGUGUAGGGCUGCUGGUGUAUCAGGAGAAGCCUGGAACCCUAUGAGCUUCAGCUUUCAUGGACAGUGUUUGUUAGUUGGAUGCCUUGGACUCCACCGAUAUUCAGUGGCAUGUCGGUAAUGGAAGCCUUAAACUGUCACUGUAAUUUUCUGAGUACCACAUGGAAUGUGAGGCUGGAAUGGUACCCUGGAAUCUGCCAUACUGGAUAUCAAUCAAUCCUUUUUUUAUUACAGUAUGCUGUCAUUUUUAAGCCAUUUAGAGUUUUAAAGUGUUUGAAUAUAUUUUAAAAAUAAAUCUAAUUUUCCUUUUUAAA